ACCAAGUUAGCUUAAGGUUGAAAGUUUGACUUUGAAGAGGUCAGGAUAGGAAUUACUACUUGGUA
rnacentral:tRNA from 1 species